rnacentral:rRNA from 1 species
AACGCACCUUGCGCCCCUUGGUAUUCCGAGGGGCAUGCCUGUUUGAGUGUCAUUUUAUCAUCAACUCGAUAGUCUUUGAUUAGGCUGUUGGGCUUGGACUUGGGAAUUGCCGGCUUGAUCUUUAUUCCAUUGAACAGUAUCUAAUACUUAAUAGAGGGGUAGAGUGUAGUCGGCUGUCCUUAAAUGCAUUAGCGAGUGUUAGUCUACAUGGCACGGCCUCUUGACGUGAUAAUGAUCGUCGUGGGCUGGAAGUGUAGUGUCUGGCUUCUAAUCAUUGAUUGCGUGCAUACGGCCCAUAAAGCUGGAAGCGCAACAAACAUUGACUACGUGCAUACGGCCCUUGAAGCUGGAAGCGUAGUCGAAAUUGACAUUUGACCUCAAAUCAGGUAGGACUACCCGCUGAACUUAA